rnacentral:rRNA from 1 species
AUUGAACGCUGGCGGCAGGCCUAACACAUGCAAGUCGAGCGGAGCGGCGGCCGGGUGAGUAAUGCCUAGGAAUCUGCCUGGUAGUGGGGGAUAACGUCAGGAAACGGGCGCUAAUACCGCAUACUAUCAGAUGAGCCUAGGUCGUAGUAGCUAGUUGGGUGGGUAAAGGCCUACCAAGGCGACGCUCCGUAACUGGUCGGAGAGGAUGAUCAGUCAAACUGGAACGGAGAAAAGGUCCCGAAUCCCAAGGGAGGCAGCAGUGGGGAAUAUUGGACAAUGGGCGAAAGCCUGAUCCAGCCAUGCCGCGUGUGUGAAGAAGGUCGUCGGAUUGUAAAGCACUUUAAGUUGGGAGGCGUUACCAACAGAAUAAGCACCGGCUAAAUUCGUGCCAGCAGCCGCGGUAAUAC